GGUGGACUUUGUGUUUGUGAUUGUGAAAAUGUGAGUGUGUGUCUGUGUAUGUGUGAACCAGGGAUCCCACUUGACAAGUUGACCUUGUCUAGAGGAGCAUUAGUGGAAAAAAACAGGGUAGCCCUGAGACAAUAGGAUGCCGUCACGACCAAUGAGACUGGCCUGCAGGGGGCGCAAGGAUUCACUUCUCUCUUGGACACUGGCGGGUGUAGACACGGUGGAUUUUGUGACGAGCGGAUUUACAAUGAGGGAAUGCUGUGAACGGGAAAAAUGAUGAUUGACCAAAGGAGCAUUAGUGGAAAAGAACAGUGUAGCCCUGAGACAAUAGGAUGAUGUCUGGACCAAUGAGAACUGCCAGCAGGUGGCGCAGGAAUGCUCUUCUCACUUAGCCUCACGACCAAUGAGAACGGCCAGCAGGGGGCGCAGGAAUGCUCUUCUCUCUUAGCCUCUCGCAGAGGGCGCUACGAGCGCGCGCAUGCGUAGCACCCGUAGAGUGGCGCUUA